CUCGGGUGGCAUCUUCUGGGCCAGUGCUCCUGCUCUCGGCUCAGGUGGCAGGAAGCACCCACGGUCCUUGGCAAAAGGGUGUCAGGUCCCCAGGGCUGGCCCAGCAUGAGGGGGAGAGGUAGAGCGUGAGCGU